rnacentral:rRNA from 1 species
CACCGCCCGUCACGGCAUGGGAGUUGGUUCUACCCGAAGGCAGUGCGCUAACCGCAAGGAGGCAGCUGACCACGGUAGGAUCAGCGACUGGGCCG